UUUGUUACAAUACUGUCAUUGUAAAAUAUACCCUAUUGCUCAAAUGUUAGAAGCGUCUAACUAGUAAAUCAAUCAAACUAAAUAUGGUUCUCGCAAUUUUUUGUGUACCUAAUGAAUUCAACCGAUUCGGAAAGCGAUAAACUGUAAGGAAGAAAAAGGGAAGUAAAACGGAUUGCCAGUGAAAUUGGAUAACAGCCCUAACGCAAGUUCGGUUGAGUACGAGAAACAUCGAGAGUUCAUUAUCCGAGAGAGUUUUUCUCCAAACAAGACCAUAAUAUUUGCUGACACAAACUACCAAUAUAUUAAUCAG